rnacentral:rRNA from 1 species
GCUACGGGAGGCAGCAGUAGGGAAUAUUGCUCAAUGGGGGAAACCCUGAAGCAGCAACGCCGCGUGGAGGAUGAAGGUUUUAGGAUUGUAAACCACUGUCCCCAGGGACGAAAAUGACGGUACCUGGGGAGGAAGCUCCGGCUAACUACGUGACAGCAGCCGCGGUAAUCCGUAGGGAGCAAGCGUUGUCCGGAAUUACUGGGUGUAAAGGGAGCGUAGGCGGGGAUGCAAGUUGGGUGUCAAAACUACCGGCUCAACCGAUAGUCGCACUCAAAACUGCAGCUAUUGAGUGAAGUAGAGGCAGGCGGAAUUCCUAGUGUAGCGGUGAAAUGCGUAGAUAUUAGGAGGAACACCAGUGGCGAAGGCGGCCUGCUGGGCUUUUACUGACGCUGAGGCUCGAAAGUGUGGGGAGCAAACAGGAGUAGAUACCCGGGUAGUC